UACAGAGGUCUCAAGCGUUGUUCGGAAUUACUGGGCGUAAAGGGCUCGUAGGUGGCCAACUAAGUCAGACGUGAAAUCCCUCGGCUUAACCGGGGAACUGCGUCUGAUACUGGAUGGCUUGAGUUCGGGAGAGGGAUGCGGAAUUCCAGGUGUAGCGGUGAAAUGCGUAGAUAUCUGGAGGAACACCGGUGGCGAAGGCGGCAUCCUGGACCGACACUGACACUGAGGAGCGAAAGCCAGGGGAGCAAACGGG
rnacentral:rRNA from 1 species